rnacentral:tRNA from 1 species
GCUCUCAUAGUUCAACGGAUAGAACAUGGGAUUGCGGAUCCCAAAAUCCAGGUUCGAUUCCUGGUGGGAGCACAA